rnacentral:misc_RNA from 1 species
GAUGAAGAACGUAGUGAAAUGCGAUACUUGGUGUGAAUUGCAGAAUCCCGCGAAUCAUCGAGUUUUUGAACGCAAGUUGCGCCCAAAGCCAUUCGGCCGAGGGCACGUCUGCCUGGGUGUCACGCAUCGUUGCCCCCCCAAACUCCGGUUCGGGCGGGGCGGAAGUUGGCCUCCCGUGCGUGCCUGCGCGCGCGGUUAGCCCAAAAGCGAGUCCUCGGCGACGAGCGCCACGACAAUCGGUGGUUUUUUUACCCUCGUUCCUCGUCGUGCGUGUCCCGUCGCCCGAACGCGCUCUUGUGACCCUCACGCGUCGCCUCGGCGGCGCUCCCAACGCGACCCCAGGUCAGGCGGGACUACCCGCUGAGUUUAAGCAUAUCAAUAAGCGGAGGA